rnacentral:rRNA from 1 species
GACGAACCGUGCGAACGUUGUUCGGAAUCACUGGGCUUAAAGGGCGCGUAGGCGGGCCGGACGGUCCGGGGUGAAAUCCCCCCGCUCGAACGGGGGAACGGCCUCGGACGACCGCCGGCCUCGAGGGGGGGGGGUAGGGGCGCGCGGAACGCUGGGUGGAGCGGUGAAAUGCGUUGAUAUCCAGCGGAACUCCGGUGGCGAAGGCGGCGCGCUGGACCCCUUCUGACGCUGAGGCGCGAAAGCCAGGGGAGCGAACGGG